AAGCCAUCUGUUUCUUAAUUUGUGCAUCCAGUUUCAGUCUGUUUUUCUAAAGGAUUUUGGAAAUUACUGUAGGUUUGCCACCUAGCCUUAAACCGCCACCUCCCUGGCGACUGGCUACGUUUUCUGUUUAGUUCUUAUCGCCAUCGACCAAUGGUUGUAUACAUCGGUGGGCCCAGAAAGUAUUGCUUGUCCAGUUUAAUAGAUGCGUUGACACCGCACCCGCAAAGCUCAUGGCAGAGUAAAACCUCAAUCCCUUUCACAAAUCCUUUGCUCCCCACUGCCCACAGGAUAAAAUGCAAAUCAACCAAGCUAGAAUGGGAGGCCCUCUGUGGUGUAAGUAACCUGCAUUCCGAGGUUUUUACCCUGGGCUAUUCUCACCCAUUCAGGUUUUUACUCUGGGUUAUUCUGACCCAUUCCCACCCUAUGUUUUCGCCUUUCCUGAAAUACUCCUUACAGCUCCUGUACCAAUUUUCUCUGUUCAACCUAUGCUUGAUUUCUGGUUACAUUCUGGAUCCCACCCCUUCCUUCACAUUCCAGGCACAUUUCCACUCCAGCACUUGGAAUAGGAAAGAUGGGUGUGGCGCCCACUGGGCCCAUAAGUAAGGACCUGCCCCAGCUGGGGUGCCCUAUGGCCGAGCAGUCAUGGGAGCUGGCGCCUGAGGGGCAGGGACUGAGGGAGAAGGUUUUGUGUAAUAUCAAAAUAUCUGGGUCUCCUUCCAGGAAUUUUUAUUACAGGCCCAUUAGCAAAGGUGUCAAAGGCACAGGAACAAGGAUGCACACCUUAAAAAUACAGAGCUAAAUGGAAAAUCAGUUUGCUCUCACUUGUUUAAAAAGUGCAGAACUUUUAAGCUUAUAUACACAUAAAUCUCAAGGUCUUUAAGAUUCCUUUUAAAUCUAACAUUCUAAGACCUAUUUUCUAUAGAAGGAGGGCCUCAGAAUCCUUGAGGUUAGCUUUUAAAUCUUAAACUUCUGCCUUGUUCUCCACAGUUCCUGGCCUGACCACAUAGCAGGCAUUCAAUAACUACUUGUUUGUUUCCUAAGGAAUCUAGAGAUAGAUUUUUCCUCAUACCUCUGCUUACUCCUCCACUCCCUUCCCUCACCUAUCAUACCUAAGGACUUCAUUCACUUCUGAGUUCCUAAGAAACACCCUAUGUGUAUAUUUGUAGUAGCUAUUCUUUCUUUUUUGCCAUUCUCUUUUUAUAUUGAUGACUUUUCCUCUUGUUUAGAUACUAAAUCUCCAGUUUCCUUGAUUUAGUUAGUAUAUAUGAUUACAAAUUAGUGAUCUUAGGAUUUUUUCUUGAUGAAACCAUCAUUCAGUGAAUAUUUUUUGCUUUCCACUGUGCCAGGGAUCUCAGUAAUAAAAUGACAUAGUUCCCACUUUCCAGAAACUCAGAAUCUUGUGAGGAGCGCAGACAAGUAAACAGAGUACCAGCAGACUGUCUUGGAGAGUGAGGACAUGGGGCCACACACAGGAUGGUGGCUCUGAGAGCAGAACUCCUUCUCCAGUCUGGACCACUGGGCUCUGUACUUUUGCAUGAGAGAAGUAAAUGGCUGUUCCUGGUAGCUGAAUGGGCUCCUAACAGCAUCUCGUUGGCUGGAGCUGGGUUGCGUGGCCGUGCUUGCACAGGAGUUGGGAUCACUGUGCUGCCCCUGGGAUGGACACACUGACCAGCCACAUUUGAGCAGAAGCUGGCUCAGCAUACAGGGGAUGGAGGACGUGUGGCCGUUGCAUAGCAGCCGAUGUUUCUGCCCUGAGAGGCUCAUGAAGAGGCAGGACUUGGGGAGCCAGAGCCGACUGAAGGCACACCCUGUGACCUGUGUGUACAUGUUACCUGCAGGGCAGUUGGAAUGGAGACCCGCUUUACUGUUACACGAGGCAAAACAUUGGUAAAUCUUAUUUUUAAAAGUGUACAGUGUUUACAGAAAAGUCAUUUGUGGGAUUUUUGCUGUUUGGAAUUCCUACGAAGUUUUCUGAGUGUGGAAAGAAGCAAUGUGACAAGAUUUCUGAUAGAGGAUUGUCUUGAAUUCUCUAUGAUCUUGAUCAUCUCUAAUUCUUUUAUCCAUCAGUUGCUAGAACAAAACUUACUUUAGAGUUAUAUAUUACAUAUUUAUCAUUAUCAUACAUAUUUACAAUAGAAAAUAUGGAAAACACAAGAAAAAAGAAAAAGCUGCCAUUCUUUCUGUAGUUAUGUUUCCAUCCAGUUUAUUCUCCAUGUGUAAACUUUUGUUGUGCCAGUGAUUUUUAUUUUUUGAUACAUUUUCAGAUAGUUUUUAGGUCAUUGUGAUCUGUCCUAUACAUGCUAUUUUACAUCCCACUUUUUUCACUUAACACAGCAUAAGUAGUUUUGCUUUUUUCCCUUAUAGUUACAAAUAAUUUUGAGUAGCUGGAGUGGAGUAUAUAUUUAAAAUUUUAACUUCAUUCUAAUUCUUUCUUCAGUGAAAGAUGUUGCUCCCUCCAUGGGGUGUCUCUGCCGUGUUAUAACACAGCAAGAAGACCCUCACCACAUUCAGCCCCUCACUCUCAGACUUCCCAGCCUUCAGAACUUUGAGCCAAAUAAACUUGUAUUGUUUAUUUUAAAAAAAGAAAGAAAAGAAAGAAAGAUGCUCAUAAAAUGGACAUAGAACUCAUGAUAACUUCUUGGCUGCUAGAGAAUGCAAUAGAGAGAUCUCUUUUUGCCCUUAGUGUUUGAGGCAGGAUAACAAAAACCACAUAAACACCAAUGCUAACUUAAAUCUGACACAUGAAACUCACACACUUGCCGUGGAAUAACCAUCCCUUUCCCGCUCCUGUAGCCCUCAUCACAGCAUUACCCAAUUUUGCUCACUUUCAUGAUACAAAGCAAAAGAAUAUUACAGAUUACUGUUGAGGGAGAACUCCUAUUUAGGAAAAGGACUGAAAGGUCCUUAAAUUAUAUGAGUUAUCUAAGUUAGUGCCUUCCAGACCUUUAUAGUAAAAGAUAGGCUUUGAGACAUCAAAUAACACACACAAAAAAAAACAUAAAUAGACAAAUAGAACUGUAUUAAACCAAAAAGUUUCUGUAUAGCAAAGGAAACCAGCAAGAAAGUAAAGAGAUAACUUGCUGAAUGGGAGGAAAUACUUGCCAACCACUCAUCUGACAGGGAACUAACAUCCAGAGUAUAUAAGGAACUCAACA